rnacentral:rRNA from 1 species
GUCGAGGGGAAACGAUAUUGGAAGCUUGCUUCCGAUAGGCGUCGACCGCCGUACGGGUGAGUAACGCGUAUCCAACCUGCCCACCACUUGGGGAUAACCUUGCGAAAGUAAGACUAAUACCCAAUGAUAUCUCUAGAAGACAUCUGAAAGAGAUUAAAGAUUUAUCGGUGAUGGAUGGGGAUGCGUCUGAUUAGCUUGUUGGCGGGGUAACGGCCCACCAAGGCAACGAUCAGUAGGGGUUCUGAGAGGAAGGUCCCCCACAUUGGAACUGAGACACGGUCCAAACUCCUACGGGAGGCAGCAGUGAGGAAUAUUGGUCAAUGGACGAGAGUCUGAACCAGCCAAGUAGCGUGCAGGAAGACGGCCCUAUGGGUUGUAAACUGCUUUUAUAAGGGAAUAAAGUGAGAGUCGUGACUCUUUUUGCAUGUACCUUAUGAAUAAGGACCGGCUAAUUCCGUGCCAGCAGCCGCGGUAAUACGGAAGGUCCGGGCGUUAUCCGGAUUUAUUGGGUUUAAAGGGAGCGUAGGCCGGAGAUUAAGCGUGUUGUGAAAUGUAGAUGCUCAACAUCUGAACUGCAGCGCGAACUGGUUUCCUUGAGUACGCACAAAGUGGGCGGAAUUCGUGGUGUAGCGGUGAAAUGCUUAGAUAUCACGAAGAACUCCGAUUGCGAAGGCAGCUCACUGGAGCGCAACUGACGCUGAAGCUCGAAAGUGCGGGUAUCGAACAGGAUUAGAUACCCUGGUAGUCCGCACGGUAAAC